rfam:Tupaia belangeri cont1.652639, whole genome shotgun sequence.
UGGGAUCAAAACAAAGGCACAGUGAAUUCCUCAUAGCAUCUUCUUUGGGAUUACUCAGGAACCAGAACUUGUCACACAAAUGUAAGAAAUUCUGCCAAGGAAUUCUGUUACUUAAGAGCAUCUCACAAGGCUCCAAUCAGAUCCCAGAAAAGGCUUCUUGAUACCAUCAAGGUAGAACCUA